CGGGUGGAGUUGAACUGCAAAGCUCCGAGAAUUUAACUGGUGAGUGUGGUAUACACUUGGAUAUAUUGGUUGGCCCUCAAAGUCUGCAGAAAACUGUGGAGGCUGUGCUAACGCGCGGCGUGCGUUGAAGCGCUUAUCAAGCGCUGUGCUCUUUGGGGGUACUUCGAACCUGCUUGCCAGUGCAUUUUCUCAGAGUGAUCACCACGACCGGCGCUGCUGUCUGUCUGCUGUGGUUAAACCGGGUGUGUAUCGUCCUUGUGGCUUUGCAUACUCGGGAUGGCAGGUAACCCGAUUGUGCUUGUCGCGAUUGGGUGUAAUCAGCUGACCAUAGUAGUACUGUACAGUGCGUCGGAGACGGCGGCUUGUGGUGCGUACAUGCGUGCAUGUUGAGUGGCGGCUUUGGGUCUGGUUAUACUGUAGCCUGUAAAAACAGGCCCUGUAAUGGCCCAGGGUUGUUCACUUGAUGGUUGCGUAUGGGGCACUUUAAUGGGCCUACAGUCUGUGGUGUAGUGGUAGACGAUCCACCCGACCCGUCUUGAAACACGGA
rnacentral:rRNA from 1 species